AGAGUUUGAUCCUGGCUCAGGAUGAACGCUGGCGGCGUGCUUAACACAUGCAAGUCGAGCGAAGCACUUUGAAUGAAGUUUUCGGAUGGAUUUUAGAGUGACUGAGCGGCGGACGGGUGAGUAACGCGUGGGUAACCUGCCUUAUACAGGGGGAUAACAGUUAGAAAUGACUGCUAAUACCGCAUAAGCGCACAGUACCGCAUGGUACGGUGUGAAAAACUCCGGUGGUAUGGGAUGGACCCGCGUCUGAUUAGCUAGUUGGUGAGGUAACGGCCCACCAAGGCGACGAUCAGUAGCCGACCUGAGAGGGUGACCGGCCACAUUGGGACUGAGACACGGCCCAAACUCCUACGGGAGGCAGCAGUGGGGAAUAUUGCACAAUGGGGGAAACCCUGAUGCAGCGACGCCGCGUGAGUGAAGAAGUAUUUCGGUAUGUAAAGCUCUAUCAGCAGGGAAGAAAGUGACGGUACCUGACUAAGAAGCCCCGGCUAACUACGUGCCAGCAGCCGCGGUAAUACGUAGGGGGCAAGCGUUAUCCGGAUUUACUGGGUGUAAAGGGAGCGUAGACGGCUUAGCAAGUCUGAAGUGAAAGCCCCGGGGCUCAACCCCGGAACGGCUUUGGAAACUGUUAAGCUGGAGUACCGGAGAGGUAAGCGGAAUUCCUAGUGUAGCGGUGAAAUGCGUAGAUAUUAGGAGGAACACCAGUGGCGAAGGCGGCUUACUGGACGGUAACUGACGUUGAGGCUCGAAAGCGUGGGGAGCAAACAGGAUUAGAUACCCUGGUAGUCCACGCGGUAAACGAUGAAUUAUAGGUGUUGGU
rnacentral:rRNA from 1 species